rnacentral:rRNA from 1 species
UUGAGAAGGUGUGCCGCUGGCGGUUAGUGACUUCGCGUCACGAAGCUGUUGGUGGUCGCAGUGAAAUGGCGGUUGUGACUGUUUACUAAAAACACAGGACUCUGCGAAGUCGUAAGACGACGUAUAGGGUCUGAUGCCUGCCCGGUGCUGGAAGGUUAAGGGGAUAUGUCAGCGCAAGCGAAGCAUUGAACCGAAGCCCCAGUAAACGGCGGCCGUAACGAUAACGGUCCUAAGGUAGCGAAAUUCCUUGUCGGGUAAGUUCCGACCUGCACGAAGGGCAUAACAACAUCCGCACUGUCUCGACCAGGGACUCAGCGAAAUUACAUUGGGGGUGAAGAUGCCCUCUACCCGCGGAAAGACGGAAAGACCCCAUGAACCUUUACUGCAACUUGGCAGUGAUUUUCGGGUUGUUCUGCGUAGGAUAGGUGGGAGGCUUUGAAGCCGGGCUUCCGGGUUCGGCAGAGCCAACGUUGAAAUACCACCCUGAAUAAUCUGGAAAUCUAACCUGCGCCCAUGAUCUGGGCGAGGGACACUGCCUGGUGGGCAGUUUGACUGGGGCGGUCGCCUCCUAAAUUGUAACGGAGGCGUGCGACGGUUCCCUCAGGCUGAUUGGAAACCAGCCGUAGAGUGCAAACGCAUAAGGGAGCUUUACUGCGAGACUGACAAGUCGACCAGUUGCGAAAGCAGGUGUUAGUGAUCCGGUGGUACCACAUGGAAGGCCAUCGCUCAUCGGAUAAAAGGUACUCUGGGGAUAACAGGCUGAUCGCGCCUGAGAGUUCACAUCGGCGGCGCGGUUUGGCACCUCGAUGUCGGCUCAUCGCAUCCUGGGGCUGGAGCAGGUCCCAAGGGUUUGGCUGUUCGCCAAUUAAAGCGGUACGCGAGCUGGGUUUAAAACGUCGUGAGACAGUUUGGUCCCUAUCUUCCGUGGGCGCAGGACACUUGAGAGGAGCUAUCCAUAGUACGAGAGGACCUGGAUGGACGAACCUCUGGUGCUCCGGUUGUCACGCCAGUGGCAUAGCCGGGUAGCCAUGUUCGGAACAGAUAACCGCUGAAGGCAUAUAAGCGGGAAGCUGGCCUCAAGACUAGGUGUCCCUGACGCAAGUCACUAAAGGCCCCUCGAAGACUACGAGGUUGAUAGGCUCGGUGUGGAAGCGCUGCGAGGCGCGGAGCUAACGAGUACUAAUAGGCCGUGAGGCUUGACCCC